CGUCGGAAUUCCGUCGGAAAUAUCCGACGGAAUUCCGAGGAAAUAUGAAUUUCCGAGGAGAUAUUUCCGACGACUUGUUUCGUCGGUAUGUCCUCGGAAUAGCGUUAUUCCGACGACAUACCGACGAUUUUGUCCCUCAGUAUGCGGAUGUUUUCUUGUAGUGCAAUAGUGUUCGUAGAAACCAGUAAGCCUACUUUCACUUCAAAAACCGUAUAGCUGGAAUAAUAUUAUUAUCUACACUAUAAAUCUUAUUUCUACUUAUUUAAUAAAAUAUAAAAUAAUCUUAUUAUCUAAAUUAACAAAUAAAUAUGACAAAAUAUGACAAAAUUAUAUAAAAUUAUGGAAGACGUGACAAGUAAACAGAAUCAUUUAUCAAAUAAUAAUAUAGAUUUGCUGGAAAUUUAGAAUUUUUGAUAUCAUACUCUAGUAAGUAAUAAAUUUUAUUCUACAUGAAUUAUUUUUGUUAAAUUAUUACAAAUUAAACUUACCUUAUAUAUAAUAAGGAAAAGUAAAUUGUAAGAUGUACACUAGUAAAAAAAACUCAAAUAGCAACGAAGUUGCUACGGUACAAUCGUAGCUAGAAAUAGAAAAGCUACGGAUUUGCUACGUUUUAGCUACGAAAACAUAAACGUAGCAAAUCGUAACAAAAUCGUAGCUAAUUUGCUACGAAUGUGCUACGUAAAAAAAUCGUAGCUAGUGGUUGAUACGAUUUUGCUACGAAAAGUAACGUAGCAAUUUACUACGUUUCAUUAACGUGUCAUUUCGUGUGUAACCUAGCUACGAAUUGUUUCGAUUCUAUCGUAGGUUUAGUUUUAAUUUAUUUUAAAAAAGAAAACGUAGCUACGGUUACCAAAAUCGUAGCAAAUUCGUAGCAACCCACCGAAAGAAACGUCCCAUCAUCCAUCGUGCGCAAGUGUCGGGAGAAAAAUACAAAACGUAAUAAGCCACGAGCAAUUUUCGUAGCAAAGAUCGUGGUUUUUUUCUGAAUGCAACGUCCCCUCGGUCCGACAAUGUGCAGGCAAAAUAAUUCAAGAUAUUUUGAGCAAGCUACGAAAAAUGUUCGUAGCAUUUUUCGUAGCAUUUUUCGUAGCAUUUCGUGGCAGAUUUCGUAGCAAGGUGUUUUAUAUAAAAACAACCAAGCACUCCACUCUCAUAACAACGAGUGAGAUAUCAAACAUAAAACGCUUUCUUUCAAAUGUGUUGGUUUUGAAAUCGUGAGUACAAUGUCUGAUUAUUUUUAUUCGAGAGAGUGGAUGGAUCGACACUUUGAUCCGAUCAAUAAUUUUGUUUCUCGUGAGUUUAAGGAAGGUGUUGAUGUUUUUAUCGCAUUUGCUUCCAAUCAAACUUCUUUUAUUGAGGGGAAAACCAUGUUAUGUCCUUGUGCAAGAUGUCAAAACCGAAAACAACGGGACUCGAGAACCGUAUCUCGCCAUCUUUACCGAGUCGGGUUCAAAAGUAAUUAUUAUUUAUGGUCAAGCCAUGGAGAAAAUUACUAUGACGUUGGCGAAUCAUCCACGGGAGGUCAAUUUAUGGGAGAAGGCACACUGCAUACGGAAGAAGAACCAUACCAGGAAAACUAUCCGAAUGUUAUGGAAGGAGUAUUGGAGGAUGUGAUGGAAGCACCCAAUGAAGAGCAAUAUGGAGAUGGCGUGUUUCAAGCCUUCGAAGCCGCUAAUGAACCAUUAUACGAAGGAUGUGUAGAAGGUAUUUCUCAGUUAUACUUGGCGUCACGUUUAAUGAAAGUAAAAACCGAUCAUAAUUUACCGGAGUCGUGUUUGGAUGAGAUAUCACAAACGUUUAGAGAUGUUCUGCCACAACCAAACAAAGCUCCUGAAUCAUAUUAUGAGAUGAAGAAGUUGACAAAGGCGCUUGGUCUUCCUGUUCUGAAGAUUGAUGUUUGUGAAGAUAACUGCAUGUUAUUUUGGAAGGAAGAUAAAGAUUUGGUGGUGUGUCGAUUUUGCGGAAAAGAUAGAUAUCACCAGAACCAUGGAAAGGGGAAAAAGCGGCCCAAACAAAGAAUGUUUUACAUGCCUAUUACGGAGAGGUUGAAGCGAUUGUACCAACUUGAAGAAACUGCAGCACAAAUGCGAUGGCACGGAGAACAUGAGUCGCCCGAAGGAGAAAUGCAUCACCCUUCUGAUGGAGCAGCUUGGAAGCAUUUUAACAAGGUAUAUCCUGAUUUCACUGAAGAAAGUCGGAAUAUAUAUCUAGGCUUAGCAACAGAUGGAUUUAACCCAGUUGGUAUGAGUGGUGAAGCACACUCGGUCUGGCCAGUAAUUGUUACUCCGUAUAACUUACCUCCUGGGAUGUGUAUGAAAAGAGAAUAUUUCUUUUUAUCCGUCCUAGUUCCCGGGCUAAGACAUCCAAAGAAGAGCAUUGAUAUAUAUCUGCAGCCGCUAAUUGAAGAAUUGCAAAGUUUAUGGAGUCACGGGGCAGAAACAUACGAUAUCUCGAGAAAGGAAACAUUCACGAUGCGAGCCGCAUUAAUGUGGACAAUUAAUGACUUUCCUGCUUAUGGCAUGAUGUCAGGUUGGAUGACUCAUGGUCGUUUAGCUUGUCCAUAUUGUCUCGAUGAUACAAAGUCAUUUUGGUUGAAACACGGAAGGAAGCAUAGCUGGUUUGAUUGUCAUCGAAUGUUUCUACCUAAAGAGCAUCCUUACAGGAGAAAUGUCCAAGCGUUUCGAAGGGGGAAGACAAUAAGUGAUGAUCCUCCACCAUGGUUGACGGGAGAAGAAAUUCGCUAUGAAAGAAUCAACAACAUCGUUGGGCUGAAGAAAACGGUUGAAUGUGGAGGUAACGGACACGAGAAACCUGGAAGUAACAUAGAAGGCUACAGAAAAGAUCACAAUUGGGUGAAGAAGAGUAUCUUUUGGGAAUUACCGUAUUGGGAAAACCUUCUUCUUCGCCACAACGUUGACUUCAUGCACGUUGAGAAGAAUUUCUUUGAUAAUCUUAUCAACACGGUGCUUAAUGUUCCUGGGAAGACUAAAGAUAAUGCAAAGUCGAGGAUGGAUCUACCUGAUUUGUGCAGAAGGCAAGAGUUACAUAUCAAAGAUGAUGGAAAGAUGUCGGUCCCGAUAUUUCGGUUGUCAAAGGAAGAAAAAAAAGAAUUCUUGCGAUGGUUGAAGGAAGAUAUAAAAUUUCCAGAUGGGUAUGCUUCAAAGUUUAGUAGAUGUAUAGAUGAGACGAAUUCGAAGCUUUCAGGCCUAAAAAGUCAUGAUUGCCAUGUCAUCAUGCAACGAUUUCUCCCAUUUGCGUUUAAGGAGUUACUUCCAAAAAAUGUCCACAUCGCAAUUUCAGGUUAGUUUUUUUUUUUUAAAUAUUAUAAGUUUUACUAUUAUUGCCUGCACUAACUCAAAAUAUUUUGUGUAGAAAUCGCACUAUUCUUUCGGGAUAUCUCUGCAAAAGUACUAAAAGAAGAAGAUGUCGCCAUUUUAAAAGAAAACAUUGCAGUGAAGCUUUGUAAUUUGGAAAAGAUUUUCCCACCUUCGUUUUUUGAUGUUAUGGAGCAUCUCGUUAUGCAUUUGCCAGAUGAAGCUGCUCUAGGUGGUCCAGUGCAAUAUAGAUGGAUGUAUCCUUUCGAGAGAUACAUGUACCAUCUGAAGAAAAAGGUUAGAAAUAAGGCACAUAUUGCAGGUUCCAUUAUUUCCCAAUGUCUUACCGAGGAGAUUUCUAGAGCUUCUGCACAUCACUUUGGAAAUCCAGAAGUGCCUGCUACCGUUUUGCAACCUGGAGAUAUUCGCUUUACAUAUCAUGAUCCAGAUGUGCCAAAUAUGUUUUACCAUGAAGGUCGAGUUAGUGGAAAAAUGGAGCAGAGGCAUCUAACCGAUGAUGACUAUAAUGUGUUACAAACGUUUUUGAUGCUCAAUUGUCCUGCAUUUGAGCCCUACGAAAGGUAUUUUCACUAUUUUUUAUAUGUUACAUUACAAUGUUUUUAUAAAAUCAUAUUAUAACCACUACGUAACAGGAUGUUUGAGGAGUUUAUGAUGGACAACAACCCAAAUAUAUGUGGUGAUGAUCUACAAAUAGCGAAAGACAACCACUAUGCGGAAUGGGUGAAAAACUAUGUAAGUACGUUUUGAUAUAAUUUGAUUUUGUUAUGUGAAUUUAUCAUUAACAUAAUUUUAAUUAAUAGGUUAACGAAGCGAGUAAGAUAUAUCAGUUUCCAUUGUGGAUGUUGGAUUUUGUACAAGGCCCGAAACAAAAUUAUAAAGCCUGGCCGAUAUAUUUUUCGCGAGGAUACUGCUUCCACACACAUAGCCAUGGCCAAGAUAAAAGAACCCAACAUUAUGGUGUCCAAGUCCGGGGUACGACAGACACUGACUAUUACGGCUUGAUUGAGGAGAUAAUGAUGGUUGAGUAUUCUGGUUCUGUUGGGCUUAAAGCCAUGGUUUUUAAAUGUAAGUGGUUUGAUACAAUUGUGGGUCGGGGGAUUCGAAAACAUAAAUCGGGAAUCGUUGAUGUGUCUCCGCGCUGGCAGUACGAGAAAUACGAUCCAUUUAUCUUAUCUGGUAAUUGUGAUCAAGUUUGUUUCAUUCCUUAUCCGCGGGUUCGAGGCACAUCAGCAAACGAUUGGUGGGCAUGUACGAAAGUUGUGCCUAGAGGGGUUCGAGAAACUUCUGAAGAUGCUCUUACUGCGCUACAAGAUGAUACACACGACCAAGUUGUUGCACCAAGUGAAAUGUUACGAUUUGAAACUUAUGUUGUGGAAGAUGAUUCAGAUUAUGAUUCUACGCCGGUUGUUCCGCCCAAUGACGAAUAUGUUUCUGAAGAUGAGAUAGAACCGGCAUGUACCGAUUCUGAUUCAGGGUCUGAUUCAAGUUCUUAGUAUUUGUAAAAUAUAUGAAUGUAUAAUAUAAGUUUUUAGUGUUUUGUAAGAUAUAUGAAUGUGCAAUAUAA